UAAUUUUACCCCUAUUUUCCUUCUCCUCUUCCCUAGCUCCCUUCUUCGUUUCUUUUCCUCUUCUCCUGCCCCUGCUACUCAGCUCUUUUCUCUCUCCUCAAUUUCUCUGCAAAUCGCACUCUCAACCAUGACAAUGGCGAUGAAGCCACCAAGAAUCAACGAAUCCCUCCCCUCAAUUGCUACUGAAGGUGAGCCAAGCAAUAUAUUUCUAGGGUUUAGGCAUGAACUCCUGAAGAUUUCAGCAAAAUUAGGGUUUCAAUUCUUCAUAAAACGGUAUUGUGGCAGCUGGCGCCGGAGACAUCUUACCGCAGUUUGGUAGCCCUUGUAGUGCAAGCAUUCAAGGACUGGUUGUUGCUUCAGAGAGAUGACACUGAUCAUCUUCUUUUUUUCUACACAAGACAGGAGAAAGAUAGACAUCCACAUAAUGAUGAUCUCUCUGCUCCACCUAGGUUCUUAGACCACCUCCUCCAAGCAAAAAUAUUUCUGAAACAGGUCAAAGAUCAAGCCCUUUCUCACAUGGAUGUUACAUGUCUACAACAGAAGUUGAGCAAGAAUGGUUCGUGCAAGUAGAUAACUACGAUACAGGCUAACUGAAGCUCAGCUUGCCAACGCUUCCACCAACCAAGCAUAGUCGCAUCAAAUCAUGCACCAAAUAGAAGGUCUUCUCACACUUUUAAGGCUAAGAAGUUCAUAUCCUUAAAUCCAAUACCUAUGCAGAAGAAUGGUUGUGGCUGAUCACCUAUCCAGUUAUGCUCAAAGAUACAUGAAGGAAGACAAGCGUGGUUCUACUGGAUACCCUUUACAAUUUCAGAAAGACGGUCCAGUUUAUAACCUUUUAUGAUUGCUGCUUACUGAAUGAAAUUCCCAGCGACACCCUGAAAUCAACUCGUGGGGGAUCGUAUCUGUGUACAUUUAUGUCAUCAUCGUCUUCUAAGGAUUAACUUUUGAGAUUUUCAUAUAUACUUUUAAGGUUCUCUUAUUUACUUGUGCGUAUCUGUAUACAUUUAUUGUACUUUGAGUUUAUGUAUCAUAGUAUUAACUCAUCUCUUUACCCUCAAGUUUAAGAUGUUUUUUAUUGGAGC